GAUGAACGCUGGCGGCGUGCCUAAUACAUGCAAGUCGAGCGAACAGACGAGGAGCUUGCUCCUCUGACGUUAGCGGCGGACGGGUGGGUAACACGUGGAUAACCUACCUAUAAGACUGGGAUAACGUCGGGAAACCGGAGCUAAUACCGGAUAAUAUAUUGAACCGCAUGGUUCAAUAGUGAAAGACGGUUUUGCUGUCACUUAUAGAUGGAUCCGCGCCGCAUUAGCUAGUUGGUAAGGUAACGGCUUACCAAGGCAACGAUGCGUAGCCGACCUGAGAGGGUGAUCGGUCACACUGGAACUGAGACACGGUCCAGACUCCUACGGGAGGCAGCAGUAGGGAAUCUUCCGCAAUGGGCGAAAGCCUGACGGAGCAACGCCGCGUGAGUGAUGAAGGUCUUCGGAUCGUAAAACUCUGUUAUUAGGGAAGAACAAAUGUGUAAGUAACUAUGCACGUCUUGACGGUACCUAAUCAGAAAGCCACGGCUAACUACGUG
rnacentral:rRNA from 1 species